rnacentral:rRNA from 1 species
CGUUCCCGGACCUUGUACACACCGCCCGUCAAGCCAUGGAAGUUGGGAGGACCUGAAGACAGUUGCUGUAAGGCGCUGUUUAGGGUUAAACCGAUGACUGGUGCU